rnacentral:tRNA from 1 species
GCUUUCGUGGUAUAGUGGUCAGCACGCUCGACGCGUAAUCGAGAGGUCCGUGGUUCGAUUCCCGGCGAAGGCG